GUCUUUGCUGGAUAGCUCAGUUGGUUAGAGCAUGGUGCUGCUAAUGCCAAGGUUGCAGGUUAAAUUCCCAUAAGGGACG